rnacentral:rRNA from 1 species
AGAGUUUGAUUCUGGCUCAGGACGAACGCUGGCGGCGCGCCUAACACAUGCAAGUCGAACGAGAGAGAGGGAGCUUGCUUCCUCAAUCGAGUGGCGAACGGGUGAGUAACGCGUGAGGAACCUGCCUCAAAGAGGGGGACAACAGUUGGAAACGACUGCUAAUACCGCAUAAGCCCACAGGUCGGCAUCGACCAGAGGGAAAAGGAGCAAUCCGCUUUGAGAUGGCCUCGCGUCCGAUUAGCUAGUUGGUGAGGUAAUGGCCCACCAAGGCAACGAUCGGUAGCCGGACUGAGAGGUUGAACGGCCACAUUGGGACUGAGACACGGCCCAGACUCCUACGGGAGGCAGCAGUGGGGAAUAUUGCACAAUGGGCGAAAGCCUGAUGCAGCAACGCCGCGUGAGCGAUGAAGGCCUUCGGGUCGUAAAGCUCUGUCCUCAAGGAAGAUAAUGACGGUACUUGAGGAGGAAGCCCCGGCUAACUACGUGCCAGCAGCCGCGGUAAAACGUAGGUCACAAGCGUUGUCCGGAAUUACUGGGUGUAAAGGGAGCGCAGGCGGGAAGACAAGUUGGAAGUGAAAUCCAUGGGCUCAACCCAUGAACUGCUUUCAAAACUGUUUUUCUUGAGUAGUGCAGAGGUAGGCGGAAUUCCCGGUGUAGCGGUGGAAUGCGUAGAUAUCGGGAGGAACACCAGUGGCGAAGGCGGCCUACUGGGCACCAACUGACGCUGAGGCUCGAAAGUGUGGGUAGCAAACAGGAUUAGAUACCCUGGUAGUCCACACUGUAAACGAUGAUUAACUAGAUGAUUGGAGGAUUGCCCCCUUCAGUGCCGCAGUUAACACGAUAAGUAAUCCACCUGGGGAGUCCGACCGCAAGGUUGAAACUCAAAAGGAAUUGACGGGGGCCCGCACAAGCAGUGGAGGUAUGUGGUUUAAUUCGACGCAACGCGAAGAACCUUACCAAGUCUUGACAUCCUGCGACGGUGCUGGAAACAGUACUUUCCUUCGGGACGCAGAGACAGGUGGUGCAUGGUUGUCGUCAGCUCGUGUCGUGAGAUGUUGGGUUAAGUCCCGCAACGAGCGCAACCCUUAUGGUCAGUUACUACGUAAGAGGACUCUGGCCAGACUGCCGUUGACAAAACGGAGGAAGGUGGGGAUGACGUCAAAUCAUCAUGCCCUUUAUGACUUGGGCUACACACGUACUACAAUGGCGUUAAACAAAGAGAAGCAAGACCGCGAGGUGGAGCAAAACUCAGAAACAACGUCCCAGUUCGGACUGCAGGCUGCAACUCGCCUGCACGAAGUCGGAAUUGCUAGUAAUCGCAGAUCAGCAUGCUGCGGUGAAUACGUUCCCGGGCCUUGCACACACCGCCCGUCA